UACGAAGGGGGCUAGCGUUGUUCGGAAUUACUGGGCGUAAAGGGCGCGUAGGCGGCCAACUAAGUCAGACGUGAAAUCCCUCGGCUCAACCGGGGAACUGCGUCUGAUACUGGAUGGCUUGAAUUCGGGAGAGGGAUGCGGAAUUCCAGGUGUAGCGGUGAAAUGCGUAGAUAUCUGGAGGAACACCGGUGGCGAAGGCGGCAUCCUGGACCGAGAUUGACGCUGAUGCGCGAAAGCCAGGGGAGCAAACGGG
rnacentral:rRNA from 1 species